rnacentral:rRNA from 1 species
UACGUAGGGUGCAAGCGUUGUCCGGAAUUAUUGGGCGUAAAGAGCUCGUAGGUGGCCUGUCGCGUCGGCUGUGAAAACUCGGGGCUCAACUCCGAGCUUGCAGUCGAUACGGGCAGGCUAGAGUUCGGCAGGGGAGACUGGGAUUCCUGGUGUAGCGGUGAAAUGCGCAGAUAUCAGGGGGAACACCGGUGGCGAAGGCGGGUCUCUGGGCCGAUACUGACACUGAGGAGCGAAAGCGUGGGGAGCGAACAGG